rnacentral:misc_RNA from 1 species
AAGUCGUAACAAGGUUUCCGUAGGUGAACCUGCGGAAGGAUCAUUACCGAGUGGCGCGAAAUUCCUGUCGUGAGACGGGGAAGCUACCCGACCUUUUGUCAUUUUGUCGAGUCUGGCUGGCGGGAUUGCAUUCGUGAGAAGCGAGUGUGGAUUUCGGCAGACGGACCAAAACUUCGGCGGAAGAGGUAGGCGUAGACCUGCCCGCCGCCGGCCGUAGAAGACAAUACACAUUCUUGAGAGCAAACUGAAGUCUAAGACGAUACUUGAAAAAGAAAUAGUAAAAAAGCAAAACUUUCAACAACGGAUCUCUUGGCUCUG